CUUCUGUAGUGUUAAUUAAAUGAGUUGUAUCAGAACACAGGGCUCAGUGUAGUAAGAUUUGUACUUAUUUGACAGACUUCCAGUCUGCCAAGACGUCAUUGUGCCCAGCCAUACCAAAAACAUACAACAGAAAGAUGAGCAAACACGGUUCAUUUUUGAAACGAAGCAAACAUUCUUUGAAUCGUCUCUCUGCUGCUACAACUCUUGUUCCAAAUCUUAAUGGUGCCACAAGAAAGUUUGUUUUUGAGUCAGUGGGAACAGAUCAGGGAAAUAGGCAAUGUAUACGUAGUACUCUUUCAAAAGUUGACAAGGAUUUUGUAGAAAAUCAUCGUGCAACUGUUGCUUCAUUUUGUGGCAGGAAACUUGCUUCCUCAAGUAGUGUUUUUGCUGAACUACAGUACAGCAACUGAUUUUAUUUUAUGUUUAACUUAAUUGGAAUAGACAAAAUUGAGGAUGAUUUGUUCUUAAGAUAACAUGUUGUCUAGUCUAAUUAUUAGUUUCAUUUGCCAUAUGAAUUAAUUAAAGGGGGGUGGAUUGGCUUGCAUUGACCAAUUGUUUUGGAAGUCAGACUGGCAUUCAAAUAGCUAUGAAAGUCAGAAACUA